rnacentral:ncRNA from 2 species
UAAUCAGAAGGCGAUGAGGUUCGCCGAAAACCGCCCAAGAUAAGUUGGGAUAAUAACCUCUACUGAAAA